GAGAUCUUUUGGGAACUCAUUGGCUUCGGGUUCCAUCGGAACUUUGAAGUUAAGCGAGUUCGCGCGAGAGAAAUCCCAAGAUGGGUGACCCACUGAGAAGUUCUCGUGUGAGUUCCCAGAAACAAAACUGUGAGGGCGUGGUUGGGGUCCAAAAUGGACAAUAUCGUGCUACGGUGGAGUCGAGCCCGGGAUGUGGUGGGGGUUCUGGUCACCUAGCAUGAGGCCUUUUGGGAACUCAUUGGCUUCGGGUUCCAUCGGAACUCCGAAGUUAAGUGAGUUCGAGUGAGAGCAAUCCCAGGAUGGGUGACCCCUUGUGAAGUUUUUGUGUGAGUUCCCAUAAACAAAACCGUGAGGGCAUGGCCUGGGACCAAAGCGGACAAUAUCGUGCUACGGCAGAAGCGGAGCUUGGGAUGUGGUGGACCCCGAGUCAGAAUGUGACAAUUUGAUAUCAGAGCCAAUCCUUGGUCAGAAGUGUGUCGACGAGGACAUCGGACCCCUAAUGAGGGUGGAUUGUUAAAUCCCACAUCACCCAGGGGAGUGGAUCCUCUAAGCCUUAUGUGUAUAUUCAUAUCUCUACCUAGCACGAGGUCUUUUAGCAACUCACUGGCUUCGGGUUCCGUAAGAACUUUGAAGUUAAGCGAGUUCGCGCGAGAGCAAUCCCAAGAUGAGUGACCCACUGGGAAGUUCUCAUGUGAGUUCCCA
rnacentral:sRNA from 1 species